ACGAAAGUUCUUUCCUGGGAUGCCCAUGUUGCCAGGAAACAGCCAGAGAGACAACAGAGGAUCGGAAAACCUGAGAACACUCUUGAAAUGGCAUCAGGAAAUGAGGAGAAAUGAAGUGAGCUCCGUGCCAGGGACUCUUUAAAGAUCCAAGAGCCCCAUCAACAGUAGCGCAGAAUGGCCCAUAAACCAGUGUUCUCCACUCAAGUUUCCAUCUGCUUAAUUCUAGUCCGGUUAAAUAAGAGACAGAAUCUUUUUCCAGUACCACUAUAACUGCUGUCCUGAGAUCAGUGGAACAGCCAGUUAGACACUGUGAGAAUUGGCUUCACCAUCCAUGACCUUCAGGGAGGCAUGAAGCUGAAAGCGACAGUGUGGACGUCUCUCUCUCUCGGUCUGGUGUGUUUGGUUAUGCUGAAGAAACACAGAGCUGAGUGUGCAUAACUGCUCUGCAAAUCAGGAAAUGAUAUAUUAAGGGGUAAGAUAGCCUGAAAAAUAUCUCAUCCAGUGCAGCAUUUGUCUAAGAUCUGUUUGGUCUAAGAUGCAAAUUAAACACAGAAGUCAUUGUAUUUAUUUGGCCAGCUUCGUAUAUGUUCCCUUGUUCAUACAUGCUGGUUACCAGCUAGUGCUUAAGGUGAGAAUGACUAUUAUUAUUGCUCAUACUUAGCUUAGGGAUAGAAGGGACAGAAAUAGAAAGAGUAGAAUAUAUCAUUAUUAGGUAAAAGAAGAGCAUGACAGGUAGGGAACAGAAAUUAGGCCUGAUUUCUGUGUAAUGCUGUGUGAUUAAUGCAAUUUCACAGACAGUCAAUAUAGACUUGUUUGACAUUCAAAUCAUUAACAUUAUGUGUUACAUCCAGCUUUGGAAGAAAUCUGAUAGUUAGCAUUUUUAAUAAUCAUAUAAAUUGAUAAAAUACAAUUUUACUGUAUAUGUUUUAAUAUUUUAAACAAUGUAUGCCUGACAGCUUUCUCUGUUUCUCUGCAAUGUUGCUGUUUCCUAAUGUCUGAGAGUUGCAAAGGACAAGCUCUGUCCUGUCAAAAUGAAUCCGCUCCAUCUCCUUCAGUCUGUGACAAUAAGAAUGUCUCCGUUAAGAUCCUGGAUCACUGACGUGACAGAAAAGUGAUGACAGACCAGCUAUACCCCCUGCUGAUAUUUUAGAGAAGAUGGCUGCUGGACAAAGCUAGACUGAAGACAAGCCCUGAACAGAAUGGUCCCGCAUCUGAUUUGAAGACCGUGGAUAUGCGCACACAGACAGAGUUUCACCGAGAUCAAUGUAGGAUGAUGGUAUGAUAUCAAUGUUUGCGGUAGGAGGAUGAGUGGGCAAAACAAUAUGGCUGGCCUAUCUUUUUUCUCUUUUUUUUUUUUUUUUGGCAUUGUUGGUUGAAGCUGAGUGAACUGAGUUCAGAAAGGAACUGAUCCUGUCCGUUGAACUGUGACUACUCAAACUUAGAGAAAGCAAGAAAGAGAUUGUUUUCAGUAGAGGAUUUUUUCACUUUAAUUCCUGUUAUGUGGGUGGAAUUCCUUCACUGAACCAGAAGUAUAAACAGGACAUUUCCGAUACCUGUGCUUCUCAGCUUUUAAUCAGAUUUAUCACACCUCUCUGUAUGUCUGAGUAACGCAUGACGACAGAGUUCAUCCGAGGUUUCAGAAAGCUCACACCACAGUGACAUAUUCUGCAGUGAGUUCAUUUUGGCUUGCCAGCCACGUGAAACAGCAAAUGAUUUCCUUUUAGCUACAUAGUCUACAACUUAACAUUUUGAAAUGUUAUUGAUGAUUAAUAAUGGAAUUCAUAUUAAUAAUAAUUUUUAUUAAUA